AAUAAUAAUAUCAUUUAUUUUAGGAGAAACUUCAAAUACCCCCAUGUGGUUUCAUACUUUCUCACUUUAGUAUCAUGUGGUUUAAAAUGUAUCAAGUUAGUAUCCUGUAGUUUUGCACUUUCUCACUUUAGUACCCUGUGGUUUCAAGUGUACCCUGUGGUUUCAUUUUUGCAUCAAGUUAGUACCCUGUGGUUUCAAUUUUCUCGUUUUAUUAUCCAUUUCGGGGUAUAUAAUUUAACGAAAUAUUAAACCACAGAGCAAUAAAGUGAGAAAGUGCGAAACCACAGGGUACAAAAUUGAUACACUUGAAACCACAUGGUACUAAAGUGAGAAAGUGUGAAACCACAGGAUACAAAAUUGAUACACUUAAAACCACAGGGAACUAAAGUGAGAACGUGCGAAACCACAUGGUACUAACUUGAUACACUUUAAACCACAGCGUACUAAAGUGAGAAAGUGCGAAACCACAUGGUAUUAACUUGAUACACUUUAAAUCACAGGGUACUAAAGUGAGAAAAUGCGAAACCAGAGGGGGAUAUUUGAAGUUUGGCCUUUAUUUUACCUAACAUAUU
rnacentral:lncRNA from 1 species